rnacentral:rRNA from 1 species
AAUGAACGUUGGCGGCGUGGAUUAGGCAUGCAAGUCGAACGGGCCGCAAGGCCAGUGGCGGAAGGGUGAGUAAUGCGACGGUAACCAACCCCGGGAAUGGGUAUAGCCGCGGGAAACUGCGGGUAAUCCCCAGCGACGUGUCGAGUCGGCAUCGGCUUGACACCAAAGUUCCGGCGUCCUGGGACGGGCCGUUGUGGUAUUAGCUAGUUGGCGGGGUAACGGCCCAUCAAGGCUACGAUGCCUACCGGGCGUGCGAGCGUGGCCCGGCACACUGGGACUGAGACACUGCCCAGACUCCUACGGGAGGCUGCAGUCGAGAAUCUUCGGCAAUGGGCGCAAGCCUGACCGAGCGACGCCGCGUGGAGGACGAAGGCCUUCGGGUUGUAAACUCCUGUCGAGGGGGAGGAAGGCGUAAGCUUGACCGAUCCCUGGAGGAAGCACGGGCUAAGUUCGUGCCAGCCGCCGCUGUAACAC